rnacentral:rRNA from 1 species
GAUGAACGCUGGCGGCGUGCCUAAUACAUGCAAGUCGAGCGAAUGGAUUAAGAGCUUGCUCUUAUGAAGUUAGCGGCGGACGGGUGAGUAACACGUGGGUAACCUGCCCAUAAGACUGGGAUAACUCCGGGAAACCGGGGCUAAUACCGGAUAACAUUUUGAACCGCAUGGUUCGAAAUUGAAAGGCGGCUUCGGCUGUCACUUAUGGGUGGACCCGCGUCGCAUUAGCUAGUUGGUGAGGUAACGGCUCACCAAGGCAACGAUGCGUAGCCGACCUGAGAGGGUGAUCGGCCACACUGGGACUGAGACACGGCCCAGACUCCUACGGGAGGCAGCAGUAGGGAAUCUUCCGCAAUGGACGAAAGUCUGACGGAGCAACGCCGCGUGCGUGAUGAAGGCUUUCGGGUCGUAAAACUCUGUUGUUAGGGAAGAACAAGUGCUAGUUGAAUAAGCUGGCACCUUGACGGUACCUAACCAGAAAGCCACGGCUAACUACGUGCCAGCCGCCGCCGUAA